rnacentral:rRNA from 1 species
AUACGGAGGGUGCAAGCGUUAUUCGGAAUCACUGGGCGUAAAGGACGCGUAGGCGGGUUGGCAAGUCAGAUGUGAAAUGCUACAGCUUAACUGUAGAACUGCAUUUGAAACUGCUAACCUAGAGUAUGGGAGGGGGAGAUGGAAUUAGUGGUGUAGGGGUAAAAUCCGUAGAUAUCACUAGGAAUACCGAAAGCGAAGGCGAUCUCCUGGAACAUAACUGACGCUAAGGCGUGAAAGCGUGGGGAGCAAACAGGAUUAGAAACCCUAGUAGUCC